GCCGGCAUGGCGGAAUGGCAGACGCGAUGGACUCAAAAUCCAUUGUUCGCAAGGAUGUGUGGGUUCAAGUCCCACUGCCGGCA
rnacentral:tRNA from 7 species